GCUGAAAACAUGGGGCACAUGCUAAUAAGAGAGUAGUAAGUGCUUUAUGUUUUAGCAG
rnacentral:pre_miRNA from 1 species